UGGUAAUUCUAGAGCUAAUACAUGCUAAAAACCCCGACUUCGGGAGGGGUGUAUUUAUUAGAUAAAAAACCAAUGCCCUCCGGGGCUCCUUGGUGAAUCAUAAUAACUUAACGAAUCGCAUGGCCUUGCGCCGGCGAUGGUUCAUUCAAAUUUCUGCCCUAUCAACUUUCGAUGGUAGGAUAGUGGCCUACCAUGGUCUCAACGGGUAACGGGGAAUUAGGGUUCGACUCCGGAGAGGGAGCCUGAGAAACGGCUACCACAUCCAAGGAAGGCAGCAGGCGCGCAAAUUACCCAAUCCCGACACGGGGAGGUAGUGACAAUACAUACUGAUACAGGGCUCUUUUGGGUCUUGUAAUUGGAAUGAGUACAAUUUAAAUCCCUUAACGAGGAACAAUUGGAGGGCAAGUCUGGUGCCAGCAGCCGCGGUAAUUCCAGCUCCAAUAGCGUAUAUUAAAGUUGUUGCAGUUAAAAAGCUCGUAGUUGAACCUUGGGCCUGGCUGGCCGGUCCGCCUCACCGCGUGUACUGGUCCGGCCGGGCCUUUCCUUCUGGGGAGCCGCAUGGCCUUCACUGGCCGUGUCGGGGAACCAGGACUUUUACUUUGAAAAAAUUAGAGUGUUCAAAGCAGCCUUUGCUCGGAUACCUUAGCAUGGAAUAAUAGAAUAGGACGCGGUUCUAUUUUGUUGGUUUCUAGGACCGCCGUAA
rnacentral:rRNA from 1 species